UGUUGGGCAGGUGCAUACUUUAUAUGCACAACACUAGCAAGCUUAAAACAUGCAUAUAUGGUUAUACAACCACCACCUUCAUUGAUGAGUUAGAGAAACAUAACAAUUAUUUUAUGGACGUAGUUAUUUAUCACCUUUCAGCAUAUAAGGAAUGGUGUUGGGGCUAAUAUAUGCUAAGACGCAGAACCUUCUCACUCCAAUAACCAUGCAUGAAUGCUGGAACUUGGGCGGUUCAUCAAAAUGGCAUAUAAGGAAAUGAAAAACAGCCUGUAUUCAAAAUACAUGCAUGACCCAUCUAAUUAGAAGUUGAGAAUGUCCUUCUUUCUCGGCCAAGGCAGGUACAAAGUAAGUUGAUUUUAUGGACGACGGGGAUCUUCCUGUUCCAUGUCUGUGUAGUAUGGCUAGGUGUAUGGAGGCAGGUUUUUAUAUGUUCAUGAGACUGCACAUCGAGUAGAUUCAUUUCUGCACAUCUUAUAGUUCCAUGUUUUUCUAGAGUCAUCCUGGUAGAUAUCCAGCCUACUUAUUUCUGCUUUUGAUAGCGAACUUCUACUUUACUUUAUUGAAUAUGAAUACUAACUAAUUGCAAUUUGGUCAUUUUCACUUUAUUGAACUUGUUAUUGCAAUUUUAUUAGAUAGUGCAUCCAAAUGCUACCUAAAUAGUCAAUUCGUGUUGGAUUAGAAGUAUCAUAGUCGCGAGAACAUACAACCUAAACUGAUUCUACUAAAAUAAAACAUUGGGCUGAAACUCAGAAGACAAAAUAGAAUCGUGUAAUGAAUGUAGCAUUCUUGGGUUGGUGUUCUCAACAAUGGGAUGAGAUGUCCUAUUUAGGAGGGUCCAUUGAUUGACGGUUCGGUUGUGCAGGACUAAACGGUUUGAUCCGGCUCUCAAAUUUGCCUUCCUGUUUGCUCUGCCCCCACUGUUUGGUCUUUGGUUGAUUCUCAGUAUCGCUGGAAGUGUUCUUGUUGGAAUGGGUUAUGGGUUCUUCGUGCUGUGGGUUUUGACUUUUGAGGCCUUUAGACAGGUUGGGGAGUCGAAGAAGUUCUUGCACUGCAUUGUGAUAAAAAGUCUUUUGGGGACGAAAGUGGAGUGGCUUUAUUAUAUACUUCAGGCAUUUAAUGCUGGUGAUUUGGUUCGUUAUCAAGAACUCUGCCAUGUCCAUAGCGCUGCUCUUAGUGCACAGCCUGCAUUAGUUGAGAAUGAGAAGAAAUUAUUGGAGAAAAUUAACAUUCUUUGUUUGAUGGAAAUCAUCUUCAGGCCAGCUUCACCAAUUAGGCCUAAAAUUGAGCGAUCUUUUUUUGUUUUUUCUUCUGACUGAGCUUCAUGUAAUGAAUGGAAACUAAAUUGAUGAAUGUUUCCAUCAUAGUUUGGGUAUCUAUGAACAGUAUCAGGAGCAAUGGCAUGAUCUGUUGUAACCCCAUGUGUUGUGGGUUUGUUGUAUAUGAAGUUCGAUCAAUAAUGGCAACUCCCUCUCUUUUUUGUUGCAUUGUAAAAAGAAAUGCAUUUGCUUGGUUUGCUGGUUGCAGGUGGUUUAGCUAAAAAUCAUAUCUACUUUGCAAACCAUGUCGAGAUUUUUGGAGGUAAGUUGUUCCCAAGCUUCGAAUUUCACUAGGUUUCGAUUCGUUUCGUGUAUUUUCCACCAAUUUAGUUGGUAUUUUGAAUAGCUGAAUGUUUAUUUUGUCUUUGGCUAUUGCAGAUUUUGCUUAUUCAGAAAUGAGAAGAUCAUUGUAUGCUCUCGAGUAUUUUAUUUCUUUUUUAUGUGAUCUCGUCGUCGUCUUUCUCUAUAAUUUAGUUCUUCAGUUUCGGGGUAUAGCUUUUUCAUAUGACUACAUUGUUUGUAUGAUGAAAUUGAUUUUCAGCCAUGUGUAGUAAGCUUUCAGAUCUAAGCGAAGCUGAGAAUAGGGUGUUAGUUGAUGAAAAAUUGAUAACCAGUAGAGGCACAUCCAUGGAGUUCUCGCUUGCGAUUGUUGAGAAGUUAUUUGGUUGCGAGAAGGCAUUGGAUCUUACUGUCAAUGAGAACUUUAAAUAGACAUAUAACUAUUAUGUUGGCAUUGUACUUUUGUGAAUGGAUUAAAAUGAAUGAUUGUAUUUGAUUGAAUGAAUGAAUGA